rnacentral:rRNA from 1 species
GACGAACGCUGGCGGCGUGCUUAACACAUGCAAGUCGAACGGAAAUGCCCUGCUUUUGUGGGGUGCUCGAGUUGCGAACGGGUGAGUAACACGUGAGUAACCUGCCCUUGACUUUGGGAUAACUUCAGGAAACUGGGGCUAAUACCGGAUAGGAGCUCCUGCUGCAUGGUGGGGGUUGGAAAGUUUCGGCGGUUGGGGAUGGACUCGCGGCUUAUCAGCUUGUUGGUGGGGUAGUGGCUUACCAAGGCUUUGACGGGUAGCCGGCCUGAGAGGGUGACCGGCCACAUUGGGACUGAGAUACGGCCCAGACUCCUACGGGAGGCAGCAGUGGGGAAUAUUGCAAAAUGGGCGGAAGCCUGAUGCAGCAACGCCGCGUGCGGGAUGAAGGCCUUCGGGUUGUAAACCGCUUUCGCCUGUGACGAAGCGUGAGUGACGGUAAUGGGUAAAGAAGCACCGGCUAACUACGUG